CCACACCCUACAACUUCAGAGAGUUCUGCAGC
rnacentral:piRNA from 1 species